rnacentral:rRNA from 1 species
GAUGAACGCUGGCGGCGUGCCUAAUACAUGCAAGUCGGGCGAACAGAUGAGGAGCUUGCUCCUCUGACGUUAGCGGCGGACGGGUGAGUAACACGUGGAUAACCUACCUAUAAGACUGGGAUAACUUCGGGAAACCGGAGCUAAUACCGGAUAAUAUAUUGAACCGCAUGGUUCAAUAGUGAAAGACGGUUUUGCUGUCACUUAUAGAUGGAUCCGCGCCGCAUUAGCUAGUUGGUAAGGUAACGGCUUACCAAGGCAACGAUGCGUAGCCGACCUGAGAGGGUGAUCGGCCACACUGGAACUGAGACACGGUCCAGACUCCUACGGGAGGCAGCAGUAGGGAAUCUUCCGCAAUGGGCGAAAGCCUGACGGAGCAACGCCGCGUGAGUGAUGAAGGUCUUCGGAUCGUAAAACUCUGUUAUUAGGGAAGAACAAAUGUGUAAGUAACUAUGCACGUCUUGACGGUACCUAAGCAGAAAGCCACGGCUAACUACGU